GUGUCAGCAGCCGCGGUAAUACAGAGGGUGCAAGCGUUAAUCGGAAUUACUGGGCGUAAAGGGCGCGUAGGCGGAUGAAUAAGUUAGGUGUGAAAUACCCGGGCUUAACCUGGGAGUGGCACUUAAUACUGUUGAUCUAGAGUAGAGUAGAGGGAAGUGGAAUUUCCGGUGUAGCGGUGAAAUGCGUAGAGAUCGGAAAGAACACCAGUGGCGAAGGCGGCUUCCUGGACUCAUACUGACGCUGAGGCGCGAAAGCGUGGGGAGCAAACAGGAUUAGAUACCCCGGUAGUCC
rnacentral:rRNA from 1 species